UACAGAGGUGGCAAGCGUUGUUCGGAAUUACUGGGCGUAAAGGGCGCGUAGGCGGCUUGGUCAGUCCCGUGUGAAAUCCCUCGGCUCAACUGAGGAACUGCACGGGAAACUGCCUGGCUUGAGUUCGGGAGAGGGAAGCGGAAUUCCGGGUGUAGCGGUGAAAUGCGUAGAUAUCCGGAAGAACACCGAUGGCGAAAGCAGCUCUCUGGGACGGUACUGACGCUGAGGCGCGAAAGCGUGGGGAGCGAACCGG
rnacentral:rRNA from 1 species